rnacentral:lncRNA from 1 species
AAGUACUCUAUACUCAAAUGCACCAAAGUGAAAUGAUCUGAAAUUCAUGACUUUAUUCACUAGAUGUUCUAUGAGAAGCAGGAUGAAGUCGCAAAAGUUGGAAAAAAAGUGAGAAAACAACCUCAUGAUGGUGCCUGGGCACAUCAGUACUCUUGCAGCUUGAAAUUGAGAUGAGACAUUGAUUCUCCAUGUGGUUGAGCACAUGAUACCAUCAGAGAUCUUUUAAAGCCAUCAGAACUAUUGCUGCCUAAGACAUGCAUGGCAAAUAAAAGUGUCUCACUGGAUUUCAAAUAAGGGGAAUAAUCAAUGUUAAGUGCUGCCUUGUUGGAUUUCUUCCUGAUUUUUUUGAAGCUCCACUUCUUCUGUUUCAGAGCUAUGUUUCCCCAGUGGGCUACCACAUCUCUGGGUUUCCAGUACUUGGAAUUUUGCUUCCCAGUUGCAGAGCUAAGAAGCCAAUUCACAUUCCAUCGUUGUCCUAAAGUCUUUUUCCUAUUUUGAAUAUCCCAUCUUGUCUGGAUUUAUCAAGGGGUAAGAAAUAUGUAUUACUUUGACCUGAAAAAUUCCUUGCUGAGUCCCACUCCAUUAGAAAACAAUAAUAUUUAAAAGAAAUCAGCCAAUCACAAUUCCUAGG